AAUGGGCGAAAGCCUGACGGAGCAACGCCGCGUGAGGGACGAAGGCCUCUGGGCUGUAAACCUCUUUUCUCAAGGAAGAAGAUAUGACGGUACUUGAGGAAUAAGCCACGGCUAAUUCCGUGCCAGCAGCCGCGGUAAUACGGGAGUGGCAAGCGUUAUCCGGAAUUAUUGGGCGUGAAGCGUCCGCAGGCGGCCUUUCAAGUCUGCUGUUAAAGCGUGGAGCUUAACUCCAUUAUGGCAGUGGAAACUGAUCGGCUUGAGUAUGGUAGGGGCAGAGGGAAUUCCCGGUGUAGCGGUGAAAUGCGUAGAUAUCGGGAAGAACACCAGUGGCGAAGGCGCUCUGCUGGGCCAUUACUGACGCUCAUGGACGAAAGCCAGGGGAGCGAAAGGGAUU
rnacentral:rRNA from 1 species